GACGAACGCUGGCGGCGUGCUUAACACAUGCAAGUCGAACGGAAAGGCCCUGCUUUUGUGGGGUGCUCGAGUGGCGAACGGGUGAGUAACACGUGAGUAACCUGCCCUUGACUUUGGGAUAACUUCAGGAAACUGGGGCUAAUACCGGAUAGGAGCUCCUGCUGCAUGGUGGGGGUUGGAAAGUUUCGGCGGUUGGGGAUGGACUCGCGGCUUAUCAGCUUGUUGGUGGGGUAGUGGCUUACCAAGGCUUUGACGGGUAGCCGGCCUGAGAGGGUGACCGGCAAAAUGGGGAAGGAAAAACGGCCAGAACUCCAAGGGGGGGAAGAGGGGGGAAAAAUGGAAAAAGGGGGGGAAGCCGAAGGAAGCAAGGCGGGGGGGGGGAGAAGGGCUGUGGGGUGGAAAACGGGUUUCGCCGGGGAAGAAGGGUGAGGGAGGGAAAGGGGAAAAGAAGAACCGGAAAAAAAGGGC
rnacentral:rRNA from 1 species